UCUCCGUAGGUGAACCUGCGGAGGGAUCAUUACAGAGUUCAUGCCCUAACGGGUAGAUCUCCCACCCUAUGUUAUCAUCACUUUGUUGCUUUGGCGGGCCGUCAGGCCUCGGCUUGGCUACCGGCUCUCGCUGGUAAGCGCCCGCCAGAGAACCCCAAACCCUGAAUAUCAGUGUCGUCUGAGUACUAUAUAAUAGUUAAAACUUUCAACAACGGAUCUCUUGGUUCUGGCAUGAUGAAGAACGCAGC
rnacentral:misc_RNA from 1 species